rnacentral:rRNA from 1 species
UACGAAGGGGGCUAGCGUUGUUCGGAAUUACUGGGCGUAAAGGGCGCGUAGGCGGUGUGUCAAGUCAGGCGUGAAAGCCCCGGGCUCAACCUGGGAACCGCGCUUGAGACUGGCACGCUCGAGUCCGGGAGAGGAUGGUGGAAUUCCCAGUGUAGAGGUGAAAUUCGUAGAUAUUGGGAAGAACACCGAUGGCGAAGGCAGCCAUCUGGACCGGCACUGACGCUGAGACGCGAAAGCGUGGGGAGCGAACAGG